rnacentral:rRNA from 1 species
UACGAGAGGCCCAAACGUUAUUCGGAAUUACUGGGCUUAAAGAGUUCGUAGGCGGCAUGAAAAGUAGGGUGUGAAAGCCCUCGGCUCAACCGAGGAAUUGCGCUCUAAACUGUCGUGCUCGAGGAAUCUAGAGGUGAGCGGAACUGAUGGUGGAGCGGUGAAAUGCGUUGAUAUCAUCAGGAACACCGGAGGCGAAGGCGGCUCACUGGGGAUUUUCUGACGCUGAGGAACGAAAGCCAGGGGAGCGAACGGGAGUUAGAAA